UGCAGAGUAGCUGUUGCGCAGGAACUUUGUUAAAUCUAGAGAACCUCGGGCAAAUUGCACAUCCCCGUGGUGGCGACUUUGCAUGCGGAUGUCAUCCAUAUCAACUUUCAAUGCCAGCUUAUGUGCCUACCAUGGUGACCACGGGUAAUGGGGAAUCAGGGUUUAAUUUUGUACAGGGACCCUGAGAAACGGCUACCACAUGCAAGGAAGGCAGCAGGCGCCCAAAUGACCCACUCCCGACGCGGGAAGGUAGUGAUG